GAUGAACGCUGGCGGCGUGCCUAAUACAUGCAAGUCGAGCGAACAGACGAGGAGCUUGCUCCUCUGACGUUAGCGGCGGACGGGUGAGUAACACGUGGAUAACCUACCUAUAAGACUGGGAUAACUUCGGGAAACCGGAGCUAAUACCGGAUAAUAUAUUGAACCGCAUGGUUCAAUAGUGAAAGACGGUUUUGCUGUCACUUAUAGAUGGAUCCGCGCCGCAUUAGCUAGUUGGUAAGGUAACGGCUUACCAAGGCAACGAUGCGUAGCCGACCUGAGAGGGUGAUCGGCCACACUGGAACUGAGACACGGUCCAGACUCCUACGGUGGGCAGCAGUAGGGAAUCUUCCGCGAAGGGCGAAAGCCUGACGGAGCAACGCCGCGUGAGUGAUGAAGGUCUUCGGAUCGUAAAACUCUGUUAUUAGGAAAGAACAAAUGUGUAAGUAACUAUGCACGUCUUGACGGUACCUGAUCAGAAAGCCACGGCUAACUACGUG
rnacentral:rRNA from 1 species